rnacentral:rRNA from 1 species
GCUUGUCUCAAAGAUUAAGCCAUGCAUGUCUAAGUAUAACUCUUUUACUUUGAAAACUGCGAACGGCUCAUUAUAUCAGUUAUAGUUUCUUUGAUAGUCCCUUACUACUUGGAUACCCGUAGUAAUUCUAGAGCUAAUACAUGCAUCAAUACCCAACUGUUCGCGGAAGGGUAGUAUUUAUUAGGUAUAGACCAACCCUCUUCGGAGGUGCUUUGGUGAUUCAUAAUAACUCCUCGAAUCGCAUGGCCUUGCGCCGGCGAUGUUUCAUUCAAAUUUCUGCCCUAUCAAUUUGAUGGUAGGAUAGAGGCCUACCAUGGUGGUAACGGGUGACGGAGAAUUAGGGUUCGAUUCCGGAGAGGGAGCCUGAGAAACGGCUACCACAUCCAAGGAAGGCAGCAGG